AAAUUAUUCAGUAAUAAACGAGCAUCUUCGGUUUAAUAACGCCUUUUUUUUCCAAAUAAACAAACAAUUUAUUUUUCUCUGCGCCGCUGAGGUUCAAUCUCUGCUUAACUUCCGGGUGUGUUUCUUUAUGAUUCAAACGAGUUUGUAAUUGUCUUUAUUACUUUCAUUAUUCCGUUUAUUUGGCAAAUAACAUCUUUCUAAUGAAAGUAACGAACUGGCGAGGCAGUCAUCGGACCUCUUAGGCUCACAAUAUUGGCUGAGUGGUUAAUUUGGUUUGUGUAAUAAGGUGAACCGUUUUCUAUGGCGCUUACGCACUCGUGCGUCUUUGUUUUUUCCCCCCGUUGGACCGAGUUCAAGUCCUCGUUUCGUUUGAAGCUGUGAGGGUUUUUUUCUUCUUUUCUUCCAAAUGAUCGAAAGCAGAAAUUACGGGGCAGCAAUUUAAUUUAUCAAUUUGAAUUUGUUCACCAGUGGUUCAGAGAUUGAUCGGUGCUGAUGAUCUUACACUAAAAUAUAUAUAUAUGGAUAUUUUACACGUUUGUCUCACAACCAUUUAGAUUGUAUUAUAGUAUUAUUAUAGAUCUUUUUUAUUUGAUUGACGUUAUCGAUCGGAUUUCUUCAUCUUAAGCAAAGAAGGCUGGGAGGAUAAUAAACACACAUUUAUUUGUUGAAAUCGGGACGACAAGGAGAAAAUGAAUAAAUAAAUAAGAGCCCUUCUGAACCCCACAGGUCAUGUCUGAGGUCACCGGUCUAAAAUUAGGUUUAACAACGCGUUGAGGUACUCCAGCAUCUCAGUGUUUGAUCUAAUUUAAAAAACACACACAUGUGCUGCUGUUGUUUACUUGCUUGUAGAAUGAAAAAUCAGAAAAAAAAUAUUGGAAAAGCGGAUUUGAAAUGUUCUAUUUCUAGUUGAACAUUUGCUGCAGGGUUAACAAUACAGCCGCGCGCAUUCGCCAUCAAUUAUUCGUCUCCACAAUUGCUGAUGUGUUGCAGUGUGUUUCUCUCUUUUCUUUCGUGUGUACGUUGUCUUUUCAGAGAUCAACGACAGCCAGAAAGAAAGAAGAAAGCGAACGCUUUCUUGACACAACCCGGUGCCUAUUAUGUAAAUGUUUUCGCUUUUUCUUUUCUCUUUUCCACGCACGAGCUGGGACCCCAAAGUUGUACCAAAUGGCUAAUUUGAUUAUUGAAACCAAAGAGCCAAAUGGUUCACCGUCCUCCCUCCACGCGUCUGGCCGCGAGAAAAGAAACCAUCUCUGGGAAUUAAUCGAAUAACGCUCAAAGAAACGAGAAGUCUUUUCUGAUAUUUCGCCGAGGCAAACACAAUUAUAGCUUUUAGCCAUCGGUUGCUUUUCACUGAAGCCGCUCUUUAUUCUCGCAGUCUAUAGUCCUUACAACCAUAGUCCACCCGCUAUGGAAGCGCCUCCUCUUUUAUGGUUUCAACAUCGUUUAAUCCUUUCAGAUGUUGCGGGUGGGACGAGAAGACACCGCGUGGUGCUUUGAUGUGAGGCGAUUCAAUCCGAAGAGACGAAACUCUGCAGAUUUAAUGGAUUUAUUAGUACUGCUCCUCGUUUUUUGCAAGAUGCAAAACGUGCAGACAGUUCAUGUCCUGCAGAGGGGCCUGGUGGCUGCAGGUUGUAUCAAUUCCACCCAACAGCAGAUUUGCGCAAACCGUGAUUUACAGUAACAUGAUGAUCCUUUAGUUCAAAUAAAGCGGCAGUUAAUUCGUAAUUAUGUGGCAAAUAAAGGGCUCCGACCGUAAGCCUUCACUUAAAUAAAUCAAGAAAAUGCGAUGUGUGCAAGACCCUAAAUCCCCCUGGCAAGUGCCGGACAAUGGCCGGGAUACGGGAGCAACUCCUCUCCAUUUAGUGCGCACUAUCGUUGCUCAGCAAUAUAGGAAUGCGGGUCGACAGGGGGGACAAAAAGAGGAACAAAAUGCCAUUGUCUCUGGAUGGAUUGGAUGGAUCCACUCCCCCGAAAAAGGCAAAGAAACAGAGGAGGAUAAAGAGCGAGGGAGCGCGAUGGGAGGGUCCCGCUGUCACAUUUCACCUACAACGUCUCACUCCUCCGCCCGAGGAAAUCCUGCGCUUAUCAAAGCGCUUAUUAAUAAGGCCGCGUGUUGCAGGGGAGGGGCUCGAGAGCAGAAAAAUCAUUUUGGGGAUGCUCUCGUGGCAAUUUAGUGUGAUGUCUAAAUUUGACAGGACGGAUAAAGGCGAGCCUUCACCUUCAACAUGCAGGAGAACAAUCUGAAAGAUAAAAACUACCACAUCCAACAGCGUUCACUGUUCCGGCAUUUCAAGCAAAUCAGCCAAACGUUAUAAUAAAUCAUACAUCAUAAAUCAUUUUGCAUGAUUUAUUGUGAUUUACUCCGAUGCUUUGGUUUUUAGAUUUGAAAUUGAACAAGACAAAAAUGAACGGGGGGUAGGAAGUGUGUGUGUGUGUGUGUGUGGGGGAGUCAAACAUUUAAGUUAACGCUGUUCCAGGCUGGUGCGUAAAAAGCGCAUCGCGUUUCCAAGCGCACAGAUGGAAAGUGACAUCUGGAGAAGAGGUGAAAUUCAAUUAGAAGCCGGUGUCUUCUCUCUGCGCCACAAAAGAAAUCAGUGUCUCAGUCUGCUGCGUGCGCGCUCGUGUCGUUGUUUUUGUUAGAGUUUUUUAACAUAAUUUCACCUCC
ensembl:lncRNA